rnacentral:rRNA from 1 species
UACGUAGGGGGGCAAGCGUUGUCCGGAUUUAUUGGGCGUAAAGAGCGUGUAGGCGGUUUGGUAGGUCCGCUGUGAAAACUCGAGGCUCAACCUCGAGACGCCGGUGGAAACCAUCAGACUAGAGUCCGGAAGAGGAGAGUGGAAUUCCUGGUGUAGCGGUGAAAUGCGCAGAUAUCAGGAAGAACACCCGUGGCUAAGGCGGCCAACUGGACGAAUACUGACGCUGAGACUCGAAAGCGUGGGGAGCAAACAGG